rnacentral:rRNA from 1 species
UACGUAGGCAGCGAGCGUUGUCCGGAUUUAUUGGGCGUAAAGAGCGUGUAGGCGGUCUGGUAGGUCCGUUGUGAAAACUCGAGCUCAACCUCGAGACGCCGAUGGAAACCCUCAGACUAGAGUCCGGAAGAGGAGAGUGGAAUUCCUGGUGUAGCGGUGAAAUGCGCAGAUAUCAGGAAGAACACCCGUGGCUAAGGCGGCUCUCUAGUACGUGACUGACGCUGAGACGCGAAAGCGUGGGGAGCGAACAGG